CCUACGGGAGGCAGCAGUGGGGGAUAUUGCACAAUGGGGGUAACCCUGAUGCAGCGACGCCGCGUGGGCGAAGAAGUAUUUCGGUAUGUAAAGCCCUAUCAGCAGGGAAGAAGAAAUGACGAUACCUGAGUAAGAAGCACCGGCUAAAUACGUGCCAGCAGCCGAGGUAAUACGUAGGGUGCAAGCGUUAUGCGGAUUUACUGGGUGUAAAGGGAGCGCAGGCGGCACGGCAAGCCUGAUGUGAAAGCCCGCGGCUCAACCUCGGGACUGCAUUGGGAACUACCGGGCUGGAGUGCAGUAGAGGUAGGCGGAAUGCCUAGUGUAGCGGUGAAAUGCGUAGAGAUUAGACGGAACACCAGUGGCGAAGGCAGCCUACUGGACGGUGACUGACGCUGAGGCUCGAAAGCGUGGGGAGCAAACAGGAUUAGAUACCCUUGUAGUC
rnacentral:rRNA from 1 species